UAGGGAAUCUUCCGCAAUGGACGCAAGUCUGACGGAGCAACGCCGCGUGAGUGAAGAAGGAUUUCGGUUCGUAAAACUCUGUUGUUAGAGAAGAACAGCGAUAGAGUAACUGUUAUGCGUGUGACGGUAUCUAACCAGAAAGCCACGGCUAACUACGUGCCAGCAGCCGCGGUAAUACGUAGGUGGCAAGCGUUGUCCGGAUUUAUUGGGCGUAAAGCGAGCGCAGGCGGUCAAUUAAGUCUGAUGUGAAAGCCCCCGGCUCAACCGGGGAGGGUCAUUGGAAACUGGUUGACUUGAGUGCAGAAGAGGAGAGUGGAAUUCCAUGUGUAGCGGUGAAAUGCGUAGAUAUAUGGAGGAACACCGGUGGCGAAAGCGGCUCUCUGGUCUGUAACUGACGCUGAGGCUCGAAAGCGUGGGGAGCGAACAGG
rnacentral:rRNA from 1 species